CAGAAUUUAAUGUCUAUGGUUGACUACAUGUCGUUAUAAAGUUGAUGCAUGUGGUCAUGCAAUACAUCUAAUUCGUGUAGCUGAAUGUACAAUAGGAUAUUUGGCAUGUGUGACCAUGCAUUCUUCUAUAGCCAUCUUUUUUCCAAAUAAAAACCCAAUUGGCAGUACACAUUAUGGAAAUAGAAGUCCAAAUCCUCCAACAUUUACAACUUUAUUAAAAACAAAGCCCACUUAUCCUACCUAAUUUAAGAUAAGGACAAGAGAUUAAAGUGCCACAUGAGUAUACGUGUCCACACGUGAUAAGGAGGAGAGAUAACACGAACAACACCGACCAAAUCCACAAUCAAGCGCAGCUCCGCCGCCGGACUUCAGAUCCACCACCACACAGAUAACACGAACAACACCGACCAAAUCCACAAUCAAGCGCAGCUCCGCCGCCGGACUUCAGAUCCACCACCACACUUCUUCUACAACUUCAACCGUUGCUACUCUGAGAGAAAGUCAAUGAUUCCGUCUUGAAUAUCUUUAAGAAGAUUUUGCAAAUCUUCUAUAUCUCAAACAGAUUUUAUAGAAGUAAGGUUCGCCUCGGACCUAAAUCAUAGGCCUUUCGUGUCUUUUAUUCAUGACAAUCGGUGGAUAUAUUAAUCCUACUUACAAGAAGAGUUGAGCUAAUGGAUAAACAAAGAAAAUAUGUCAAAUAGCCCCGAGAUUGAAAUUUAAACAUGUAGAAGAAGAGAGAAACAUAUCUGAACAAGUCGGAAACUUAUUAUCCGAACAAAUACAAAAGAUAAUCAACAUUAAGUCCUUGAAACCCAAGCCAAAAAUCUUAGAUUUGAUUCGGAAAGACAAAAAAACAAAACACUAUAAUACAAUCUGAUCAAAAUCGGAAGAGAAGCUCUCUCUGUCUAAAAGAUACGAGAGAGUUAAGCGAGAGAGAGCUUUCCCCUAGUAUAAAUUUGGCGUUUAUAUACAUGACGCAAAUUGGUACCAUUAUUUCUUCUAACAAGUGAGAUAAUUUUUGUAAUAGUAUAACAUUUUAAAA
rnacentral:lncRNA from 1 species